GGAAACUCUGAUGAAAUGAGCCAUCACUGCUUGUCAUGAGUCAUCAAUUAAUUUCUCAGAAAUCAUGUUGUCAACAACUUUUCAAGACAAAUGUUUCAAUAUACCCAGUCUCUUCCUGGAACUUGUGGCUAAUGUAUCUAGCUGCUUACCUGACAUUUCUACAAGGAUGCCCAAAACACAUCUCCAUCUAAGGAUCUAAUAUUUUCCUGUGGUUGGCCCUAUACAUCAGACAAUGUGGGCCCAUUCCCAACUGCUGAAUUUGACCGAAUCAUUUUCCCUGCCAGGGACUGGUUUGGGUAUGUGAUGCAAUUAUGGCUAAAAAAUAAAUGAGGAGCAACAGGCUGGGAGGGCUUGUGGGCAAAGACAUCAUCACUAAUAAAAUAUAGAAGAGAUAGAACUUUUUCCACUGGACCUGACUCUCCAUGUGAGCAAAGAUGGCAGUCAUCUUUCUUUCUUUCUUUCUUUCUUUCUUUCUUUCUUUCUUUCUUUCUUUCUUUCUUUCUUUCUUUCUUUCCUUCCUUCCUUCCUUCCUUCCUUCCUUCCUUCCUUCCUUCCUUCCUUCUUUCUUUCAGUAUAGAUAACACAAUGCUACGUUAAUUGAAGGUAUA